rnacentral:rRNA from 1 species
UACGUAGGGUGCGAGCGUUAAUCGGAAUUACUGGGCGUAAAGCGUGCGCAGGCGGUUUUGUAAGACAGCUGUGAAAUCCCCGGGCUUAACCUGGGAACUGCGGUUGUGACUGCAAGACUGGAGUGUGGCAGAGGGGGGUGGAAUUCCACGUGUAGCAGUGAAAUGCGUAGAGAUGUGGAGGAACACCGAUGGCGAAGGCAGCCCCCUGGGUUAACACUGACGCUCAUGCACGAAAGCGUGGGGAGCAAACAGG